GAUCUCUCCUCUGGAGUUUUGCAGUAAGCCCAGGGUGCAGCAUCUCAGGUUAUGGAGCUGCUGGUGGGAAAGGAGGGAAGAACACUAUGGUGAGAUCCCAUGGCGUGUCUGUACUGGGAAUUUUUGACCUCCAGAAGGAUGAUACGUUGUAUAUCUUGGUGGGACAGCAAGGAGAAGAUGCUUGCCCUAGUACUAAUGACGUUAUACAGAAAGUCUGCAUUGGAGAGAACAAUGUGAUUGAAGAGGAGAUACGUGUGAACAGAAGUGUCAAUGAAUGGGCAGGAGGAGGUGGAGGU